CGUACUUUUUAUGUUGAUGAAUUUUUUUUUUUCAUUUAAAAAGUGUUGGUUUUAACAAUAAUCUCUGACGAUAAAUAAAAACAAAUAAUAUAUUAAAUCAGUGGUUACGACUGUGGUUGUAUUGUAAAGUGCCAAACGUCAUGAUUCAAUAAAAUCAUUUGAUUGAAAUGUUUUAUCGAAGACCAGUAGUGGUGGGGGAGAUGUCUAUGAUAACUAUUCCUCAUAACAACAGGUGCCAUGUAAAGCGAAAAGAAAUUGAAAAAGCUGUUCCUAUAGGGUGACUGACUGCUUAAGGUGAUGACUACUGAAGUGAAAUCUUGUUACAUCAAAAGAAAAAAAAAAAAGACCUUAAGUCAUUAGUUGGAUGUAACUCCAAAGUCUGGUUGCAGAAAAUCUCUCUAUAGCCAGCAAGCAUAAUAAAAUAACAAAAAAACUGUCAGGUAUUCUUUGUUGCUGUGUGUGCCAGAGGAUGAGGAUUGCAAUGAGUGAUGACAAGUGAAAGACUUGUCCAACCUAU